CUUGGCGAGAAUUCAAAAUAGAUUCUUGUAAACAACAGCGUUCACGAUGUUUUCAGUUCCACAGACGCCAGUCUCUCAUUCUAACACAAGUGGUUGCACUGUGAAAGUUUAUGCAAGAACAAGACCUUUGCUUGAAAAUGAGUCUCAUAAAGGUGCCAAGAGUAUUCUCAAAGUGUUAAAGGAAGAAAAGCAGAUGGCAGUUGGAGACACGAGUGAAAAGCUC